rnacentral:rRNA from 1 species
UAAGGAAUAUUGGACAAUGGCCGCAAGGCUGAUCCAGCCAUGCCGCGUGAAGGAUGAAGGCGCUCUGCGUUGUAAACUUCUUUUGGACGGGAACAAAAUGCAGUCUGCGGAUUGUACUGAGGGUACCGUCAGAAUAAGCACCGGCUAACUCCGUGCCAGCAGCCGCGGUAAUACGGAGGGUGCAAGCGUUAUCCGGAAUCACUGGGUUUAAAGGGUGCGUAGGCGGUCUGAUAAGUCAGUCGUGAAAUCGCUGGGCUUAACCCAUGCAAUUGCGAUUGAUACUGUGAGACUUGAAACAGGUUGAGGUAGGCGGAAUGUGACAUGUAGCGGUGAAAUGCAUAGAUAUGUCAUAGAACACCGAUUGCGAAGGCAGCUUGCUGGACCUGAUUUGACGCUGAGGCACGAAAGCGUGGGGAGCAAACAGG